rnacentral:rRNA from 1 species
GACGAACGCUGGCGGCGUGCCUAAUACAUGCAAGUAGAACGCUGAAGGAGGAGCUUGCUCUUCUGGAUGAGUUGCGAACGGGUGAGUAACGCGUAGGUAACCUGCCUGGUAGCGGGGGAUAACUAUUGGAAACGAUAGCUAAUACCGCAUAACAGUAGAUGUUGCAUGACAUUUGCUUAAAAGGUGCAAUUGCACCACUACCAGAUGGACCUGCGUUGUAUUAGCUAGUUGGUGGGGUAACGGCUCACCAAGGCGACGAUACAUAGCCGACCUGAGAGGGUGAUCGGCCACACUGGGACUGAGACACGGCCCAGACUCCUACGGGAGGCAGCAGUAGGGAAUCUUCGGCAAUGGACGGAAGUCUGACCGAGCAACGCCGCGGGAGGGAAGAAGGGUGUCGGAUCGUAAAGCUCUGUUGUAAGAGAAGAACGAGUGUGAGAGUGGAAAGUUCACACUGUGACGGUAUCUUACCAGAAAGGGACGGCUAACUACGUG